GGUUUGAUGGCGUAGUUGGUUAUCGCAUCUGUCUAACACCACCUAGUAGGGUUGAGUUUCACAGAAGGUCCCCGGUUCGAGCCCGGGUUAAAUCA